rnacentral:lncRNA from 1 species
AUAUACCGCAAGCAAAUUAAAAUACCAUUGAUGCCUUGGUUCCUUUACGCUUUCCUUGAGGUGCUCCAAUGAAUUAACUGAUUCAAGGACCUAAUCCAUGGAUGAGGAGAGAAAUCGGAAUCCACGAGAAGAGUUAUUUCCUAAAAUGCAAAAAUUUGUAUCAGGGCAAUCAUCUUUUUAACAUAUAGAAGGGAAUGAAGAAAUUUAUGAAUGCAGUAUCUGCCUUUCAAAUACCAGAAGGAUCAAAGAGAUGUAUUUACUUUUUAGUAGCAAAAACAGGUUAAACAUAUAUCAACAGACGCUUUUCAAGGCCUAUAAUAUCCUGACUUUGUCUUUAAAGCUAUCAGCUUUUAUAUU